UCCCUAGUACGGCGAGUGAAGCGGGAAGAGCUCAAGCUUAAAAUCUCUGUGCAAGUUUUGCAUGGCGAAUUGUAGUCUAUGGAUGCGUGAUCAGUAUGGACACUGUGGUAAAGUUCCUUGGAAGAGGACAGCACGGAGGGUGAUACUCCCGUUUGUGCCAUGGUAGUCUGUGCGUACGAUCCGUUUUCUUUGAGUCGCGUUGUUUGGGAAUGCAGCGCAAAGUAGGUGGUAAAUUCCAUCUAAAGCUAAAUAUUGGUGCGAGACCGAUAGCGAACAAGUACCGUGAGGGAAAGAUGAAAAGAACUUUGAAAAGAGAGUUAAAGAGUACCUGAAACUGCUGAAAGGGAACCGGUUCGUUGCCAGUGUCUAUAAUCCAUGACAUAUUUCAUUGUCGUGUGCGUGCGUGCGGGUGGGACGUAGUGGCUUUGCUUCACUCCUGUCUGUUUUGCAUGUAUAUGAUGGUGCCCUGUGUUGUGGUGGGACGUCAUAGUCAGUUCGUAUGUCGCGGGAAAUGGUUGCUGAGGAGGUAGGUCAGGGGCUCGUCUCUUGGCUAUUAUAUCUCGGCGUACUAGUCGUCGUGGCUGGGACUGAGGUGCUUACAACGUGCUUUUGAGUGCUGCUGCUUCUCUGUGUGCCCGUGUGCUAGAUAGCUUGCUAUGUAGUGUGUGUCGUAUGCGGAUGGGUGUGGCAGUAAACUUGUAGCCGUUCGGGACUUUGACGAAAUGGCGCGACCCGACCCGUCUUGAAACACGGACCAAGGAGUCUAACAUGUGUGCAAGUGUUCGGGUGUGGAAACCCAAACGCGAAAUGAAAGUAAAGGAUGGCGUUCGCUGUCUGAGGUAGGAAACCUUGGCACUUGUGCUGGGGUGGCACUAUCGACCGAUCAUGAACCUUCGUGGUGAAAGAUUUGAGUAUGAGCACAUAUGUUGGUACCCGAAAGAUGGUGAACUAUGCCUGAGUAGGGUGAAGCCAGGGGAAACUCUGGUGGAAGCUCGUAGCGAUUCUGACGUGCAAAUCGAUCGUCAAACUUGGGUAUAGGGGCGAAAGACUAAUCGAACCAUCUAGUAGCUGGUUCCCUCCGAAAUUUCCCUCAGGAUAGCAGCAACUUCUUUUCGAUAGUUUUAUGAGGUAAAGCGAAUGAUUAGAGGAUUCGGGGAAGAAACUUCCUUGACCUAUUCUCAAACUUUAAAUCUGUAAGACCUGCAGGUUUCUUAAUUGAACUUGCGGAUGUGAAUAUCAAGUUGCUAGUGGGCCAUACGGGGUAAGCUCGUCUGGCGAUGCGGGAUGAUCCGAACGCAAAGUUAAAGUGCCAAAAUACCCGCUCACCUAGAUCCCAUAAAAGGUGUUGGUUCAUUUAGACAGCAGGACGGUGGCCAUGGAAGUCGGAAUCCGCUAAGG
rnacentral:rRNA from 1 species